rnacentral:rRNA from 1 species
GUAGGUGGCAAGCGUUGUCCGGAAUUAUUGGGCGUAAAGCGCGCGCAGGCGGUUCUCUAAGUCUGAUGUGAAAGCCCACGGCUCAACCGUGGAGGGUCAUUGGAAACUGGAGAACUUGAGUACAGAAGAGGAAAGCGGAAUUCCACGUGUAGCGGUGAAAUGCGUAGAGAUGUGGAGGAACACCAGUGGCGAAGGCGGCUUUCUGGUCUGUAACUGACGCUGAGGCGCGAAAGCGUGGGGGAGCAAACAGGAUUAGAUACCCUGGUAGUCCACGCCGUAAACGAUGAGUGCUAAGUGUUAGGGGGUUUCCGCCCCUUAGUGCUGCAGCUAACGCAUUAAGCACUCCGCCUGGGAGUACGGCCGCAAGGCUG